rnacentral:rRNA from 1 species
GACGAACGCUGGCGGCGUGCUUAACACAUGCAAGUCGAACGGAAAGGCCCUGCUUUGUGGGGUGCUCGGGUGGCGAACGGGUGAGUAAAACCGUGGUAACCCGCCCCUGACUUUGGGGUAACUUCCAGAAACCGGGGGUAAUAACGGGAAAGAGCCUCUGCCUCCUGGUGGGGGGUGGGAAGUUUCGGCGGUUGGGGAUGGACUCGCGGCUUAUCAGCUUGUUGGUGGGGUAGUGGCUUACCAAGGCUUUGACGGGUAGCCGGCCUGAGAGGGUGACCGGCCACAUUGGGACUGAGAUACGGCCCAGACUCCUACGGGAGGCAGCAGUGGGGAAUAUUGCACAAUGGGCGGAAGCCUGAUGCAGCAACGCCGCGUGCGGGAUGACGGCCUUCGGGUUGUAAACCGCUUUCGCCUGUGACGAAGCGUGAGUGACGGUAAUGGGUAAAGAAGCACCGGCUAACUACGUG